rnacentral:rRNA from 1 species
AAUGAACGUUGGCGGCGUGGAUUAGGCAUGCAAGUCGCGCGACAAGUCUUUUUUAGUUUACUAAUAAAGACGGAGGAGCGGCGAAAGGGUGAGUAACGCGUGGAUACUUACCCCUAGGCCCGGGAUAGCGUCGGGAAACUGGCGGUAAUACCGGAUAACAUCUCCGGAUCAAAGGUGUGAUUCCGCCUAGGGAUGGGUCCGCGUCCUAUUAGUUUGUUGGUGGGGUAACGGCCUACCAAGGCAAAGAUGGGUACCGGGUGUGAGAGCAUGGCCCGGCACACUGGGACUGAGACACUGCCCAGACACCUACGGGUGGCUGCAGUCGAGAAUCUUCCGCAAUGGGCGCAAGCCUGACGGAGCGACGCCGCGUGCGGGAUGAAGGCCUUCGGGUUGUAAACCGCUGUCAGUGGGGAGCAAAUCCCUAGGGGCUAUCUCCUAGGGUUGAGCGAUCCGCAGAGGAAGCGCAGGCUAAGUUCGUGCCAGCCGCCGCCGUAACAC